UACAGAGGGUGCGAGCGUUAAUCGGAAUUACUGGGCGUAAAGCGCACGUAGGCGGCUUGGUAUGUCGGGUGUGAAAUCCCCGGGCUCAACCUGGGAACUGCAUCCGAAACUGCCUUGCUAGAGUAUGGGAGAGGGAAGUAGAAUUUCCGGUGUAGCGGUGAAAUGCGUAGAUAUCGGAAGGAACAUCAGUGGCGAAGGCGACUUCCUGGACCAAUACUGACGCUCAGGUGCGAAAGCGUGGGGAGCAAACAGG
rnacentral:rRNA from 1 species